rnacentral:tRNA from 13 species
ACGUCUGGUAGUCCUGGUCGGACUUCAAAUCUGUUUGCUUGUCGUCAAC